CACGUAGGGCGCAAGCGUUGUCCGGUAUUAUUGGGCGUAAAGAGCUCGUAGGCGGUCUGUUGCGUCCGCUGUGAAAACUCGGGGCUUAACCCCGAGCCUGCAGUGGAUACGGGCAGACUAGAGGUAGGUAGGGGAGAAUGGAAUUCCCGGUGUAGCGGUGAAAUGCGCAGAUAUCGGGAGGAACACCGGUGGCGAAGGCGGUUCUCUGGGCCUUACCUGACGCUGAGGAGCGAAAGCGUGGGGAGCGAACAGG
rnacentral:rRNA from 1 species